rnacentral:misc_RNA from 1 species
UCGAUCAGGCGGUACGGAUCUCCGGUCAGUUAAUGGUCUCCAUUUAUACUUUCAUCAGCUAUACCUCUGUUUGUUUCUUGGGAAAACCUAGGAAUAUGCAAGGGAAACAGAAAGUAUUACCGAAGUCCUCCACUGAUAUUUUGUUCUCGGGAAACAGAAAUGUCAUUGUAGAUACUUGACAAUGGGGGAAAUUAUUUGAUUUGGUUUCUAGAGUGAUGGUGGGCUGG